GGUCAGCAUUGUAACACCUCUUUUGCCUAUUUUCCCAAUGGCAAGAGGAUCCCUGCUCUGUCAGAGGCAGUCUCAGCUUUCAUUUUGGUAGAAGAAGCUGCAAGUGAAAAGAUUAUGAGGCCAGGAGCAUGCAUCACAUGUUGAAGGAACAGCAAGGAGGCCAGCAUGGCUGGAGCAGAGAGAAGCACUGACAGCAGUUGAGGAUGGAGGGAGCCAGAGGUCACCACAAAGCUUUGCAGAAUGGUGAAGAGGAUUUUGUUCUAAAUGUGAUCAGAAGCGACUGUAGAAUUUGAACAAAGAGUGGGGUGUUCUGGUUUAUGUUUUCAAAAGAUCACAUGAUUUUGUUCCUUUUGUUAGUGUAUAUGAGCUUGAUGAUGACUUUAGCAUGUUUCAUCUGAAAAGGAUAUUUGAGCUGGAUACCAAAGCUGUGAUCUGAAGGAUGAGAAGAACUUACCCAAUGUUGAGGAGAAAUUAUUGUGUUGUAUAUAAAGACACUAGUGAGAGCUGAAAUCUGAAGUUUGGUUUUUUGACUGCAAGACAUGUGGGAUCUCAGCUUCCUGACCAGGGAUCGAAUCC